CUAUUACCUGAAAUCAGUUUGGGGUUGGGAUCAUUUUUUAUCUUAAUUGCUUUAGCAAUGUAAGUGAAUCAGAACUGAAGUGGAAAAUGUUCUUGGGUUUAUGUUUUCAACACAAAGUAUGACGAUGCUUACAUUCCGUUUAUAGGAGUGGCAAGGAAUUUACUAUGCCAAAAAGAAAAACGGAGAUAAUAUACAACAAAAUGUGAAGAUAAUACCUGUCAUUGGACAGGGAGGAAAAAUUAGACACUAUGUGUCCAUUAUCAGAGUGUGCAAUGGCAACAAUAAGGCUGAGAAAAUAUCCGAAUGUGUUCAGUCUGACACUCAUACAGAUAAUCAGACAGGCAAACAUAAAGACAGGAGAAAAGGCUCACUAGACGUCAAAGCUGUUGCCUCCCGUGCAACUGAAGUUUCCAGCCAGAGACGACACUCUUCCAUGGCCCGGAUACAUUCCAUGACAAUUGAGGCGCCCAUCACCAAGGUAAUCAAUAUUAUCAAUGCUGCCCAGGAAAGUAGUCCCAUGCCUGUGACAGAAGCCCUAGACCGUGUGCUGGAAAUUCUAAGAACCACUGAGUUAUAUUCACCACAGUUUGGUGCUAAAGAUGAUGAUCCCCAUGCCAAUGACCUUGUUGGGGGCUUAAUGUCUG
rnacentral:sRNA from 1 species